UUUUCCUUUAAACGUAAUUUUUUAAUCAAGAAAAAGAUACACAGUUAAUUUCAUUUUGACAUUUUUUCAAGACUCAAGCAUUUUAAAACUACCUUAAGACAUUCCUUCUGAUGAGGUCAAGCUAUGCCCAUAUGCCCACAUCAUCACUAGCAUAAAACAACUUUUAAAACCAAUUUUUUUCUUUCCUUGAACAAAUAUCAAGGUGAAUCCAUUUAUUUGCUUUCCUUUCUUGCUUAUUAAAAAUCCAAGGGAAAACUUUGAUCAUCAACCACUGAGCAUAAAAUUAAGAACAAAUGGAACACUUAAAGAAGGGCUAGCAUUUCCGGGCUCAAAAGGUCUUUUUGUGGCCUGUCUUCCAGCUUCCUCGCAUCCGAGUUAUUCCCGUCACCUUCUAAGAUUAGGCAACUCUGUAAGAAAUCUCACAUCACUAAGUAAAGGACACAAAACCCAUACCAGCUGGAGAAACACCACUGCAAUCUUCCCAUAAAAGAACCUGUAUCUUCCUGAAAUCUCUGUGAACAAAGAAAUAGUUUAGCUGACAGCUCACAUGACCCCAGCAAGAGUACCUCGAAAAGUUCAUACUAACUUGUCUGUCAACAGCGUCCAAAAUCUCUGAUAUGGAAGCCGUAAAUCAUUAGGCCUCCCAAAUCACAGACACAUGAUUGUGUCCACCAAGGGUGCCAUCGUGGAAAAUUCUGACCAGUCUUACAGGGCUUUCUCCCAACGUAGAUUGUAAAUGCAGAGAGAAUCAAAGCGUAAGUGAGGGGCAUUGGAAAGAAAUCAGAACAGACUUGGGUCAGUGGAUUGAGAUUCACCUGCUUUCUGUUUAUCACUUUUUUAAAAGAGCUUUUUAGUUAAGUGAAACAUUCAGAAAGGGUAUAUAUUAUUCAUGUACAGAUUGAUGAAUUUUUACAAAGAACAUAGCUGUGUACACAGAACAAAAAAAACAGAAUCUCACCAACACCCCAGAAGACCCACUUAUACUCCCUUCCCCAAAGGGCAAUUCCUACCUGAUUAGUUUGCCUGUUUCUGGGUUUUAUACACGAGGAAGCAUAUAGUGUGCACCCUUUAGUGUCUGUUUCCUUCGCCCAGCAUCAUACUUACGACAGUCACCCAUAUUGUUGGCCUAGCAGCGGGAUGUUCCUUCCAACUGCUGUAAUGCAUUCCACUGUGGUGAAUACGCCCCAGAGUGUUCGCUCUAGUACUGAUGGGCCAUAUGCUGUGGCCCAAAGUUUACUGUCUGGUUUGGGAAGUUUUAAAAAACAGUCGCAUAUUUGAGAGAGACACUCAGGGGAUUUUUUAUGCCCACAGAGAGAAAGAAAAUAGAGGGACCAUUUCCCCUGCUCAGACCUCUAGCUUUGUUCGGUCCUGCUUUGUCAUCUCACCCCCAGACUCAGGAAAAAUGGUGAGUUAUGCCUAUGAGAGCGUCGCCGCUGCAAGAAGAGUGGGCUUUGGAGUCCCAGAAGACCAGGGGGAGUCUCCGGUCUACAGGGAGUGGACACAGGAAGUUGCACAUAUGUGUAAACGUCAGAGAAGCCUCUGGUUACUGGAAAAUCCUCUGUAAAUAUCUCAGAGCAGCUAGGAUACCUCACUCAACCCAGGUUACUGUGACUGUAGUCUCUAGCGUCUCAAUGUGUGUGGGGAUCCGGCCGUUUCCCACCCCCACGACUUCAAGAAAAAGACAGACCAUGAGCUGCACAUUUGAUCCAAUGAGGCUUAACCAGGUCCUGGUAGAUUUACCUCCUUAUUUUUGAUAUAGCUAUGGCGAACACCCUCUCUAGCAUAUAACUCAUGUAUUUCUUUCUUCACAAGAACUCAAUUACCCUGCUUAAGAUCUCUUUUGGGAUUCUAAAAUACUAACUGCUCACUAAGUUUCCAAAAACUUGAGGCGAAGCUAGCUUAUUUCCAGCCAGCCUCUGUUUAUGUGGGUGCAAUGAUUUAAAAUAUCCCUAAAUACUUUUGAGUGGAAACUCUUGAAAUUUUAUUCUCUGAUCGGCAGUACAUAAAUUCAAGUGCCUCUGAGAUCUAAAGAAAAUAAGAGUGCUCAUUGGAAGGAGGGAGGGUGGGAAAAUACAAGGCAGUGUAGUGUUUAGAUUCAUUGGUUUGGAAAGACUUAAAAUAUUUAUAUCAAUAUCAAGAACUUAUUUAUGUUUCAUUUCUUGGCAAGGCUUUAUAUGUAUAUCCUCAAAGAUUUCAAGUAUUAUUUCAUAAAGAAUAUGCUACUGUUUAUAAACACAAAUGUUUGAGAUGACUGCAAACAUUUUUUGAAAGAAUUAAGGCUUUUAAUGAUUUUUUUCUUUUUCCUGACUCUCUUUGCAGCCAUCUUUUGCCUUGUUUUUUUCCCUAAUUUUGUAAGCAUUACAAUGAUAUGAGGUGGUGGUUUAUGGAACUCUUCUAAAAGGACAUCUGGAAGAUAAAUUAAUGACCUCUUAGGUUGAGCAAGUACCCGUGCCAUAGGUCACAAGCAUCCCAGUCUCCUGAUAAAGUCAACAUAGAGGUUUAAAGUACAAAAACUUAACAGAAAUAUUUAAAAUAAUUAUAAAAAUAAUCAUAGUAUUAAAACCAAUUAUAAAAAAUAUAAUAAUUUUUAUUGUAAUUAUUGUGUGCUGUGUGGAUCCUGAAAAAGUAAAAGAAAACAGAACAUUCUCCUUCCUGCCCAUGACUCUCAGUUCUUCAAGCUAACAUUUUCUGUGCUCUUAACUUUUGUGCCAGUCACUGUGUACUUUAAGGCACUUAAAAAAUUCAUCUUCACAAUGACUCUGAGAGGUAAGUAACAGUAUUCCCCCCAUUUUGCAGAUGGGGAAACUGGGCUUAGGGAGGUUAACACCUUGCCGACAUUACAAGGUUGUGAGAGGCAGAGCCGGAGCUGGAAUCCAGCUUGGGCCUGCAGCCCGACCCUCCACCACUGUUAUCUACCGCCUCUCUUGUACACAUAAGCUGCCCAUGAAGACUGACACCGGCCAAGUUAACCUGAACACAGGCACCACCAGCCCUGGAGAGUCAAAGGCUUAACAUGCUAACUCCGAAGGGGCGGACAACUUCCACUGAACUCGUUAGAAAUAAUGAAAUCUAGUCCUCCAACAACUUAGGGGACAAUGUCAGUACUGAAACGUGGUUUCGGCAGGUGACAUGAAGAGAAUUCCAUUUGGAGAACAAGGACUAUUACGUCCACUGAAUGUCUACCCUGCGCUGCUAGGUAGUAGGAAGAGAGAAGUUAACAAAAGGUGGUUCCUACAUCAAAACACAUCAACAGGUGACUGUUGCACCUGUGACACUGGGUAAAUGGUAGUUUUACCUCUGGAGCUUGCAUUUACUAUGAACACCUGGUCUUUCUCCUUAGGACUCAUAACCCACAAUGGACCCCUCUUUGUCUAAACUACUAAAGUGAAUUCUUUCCUACCAUAUGUGAGGUAUUCAUGAAUAACACCAUCAAAGGAUGGUAAAAGAAUGUAAAUAUUUUGUUCCUUUAAAGGUCCAUUUCCAAGUUUGCUGAGUGAACUGUAGAGUUAAUUUCUCCCCCAACGUGCAUGUACCUCUCUCCUCCCAUCUUCCAGUUAGAGCAGCCCUAUGCUAAAAGCAAGCUCGAAAAUACAGAUUUUUCUUUAGGUAGCAUCCACAUGCUACUCCAGUUAAACAGAAUUCUAUAAGGUAGAGCCAAAGUGGUAGAACUAACCACAUAGAACACCUGCUCCAUCCCUUCUUUUUCAAAUGGAAUAACUGAGACUCUGAAGAGCUAAGGGGCUUGCCUAUGGUCAAAAAGAAAUAAACAACAAAUCCAAAACUUAAACUCAGGCCGUGUUUUUUUUCUAUAACCUUAUAGUUCAUCCUACGGUCCCAUCCGAUGCGAAGUCCAAUCCCAUGGUCAGAGAGGCCCCUGACGUGAGCUCCGGCCCAACACUUUGCACAGUGCUUGCAGCAAGGCAGAUUCUCAGUGAAAGCUGGUUGAGUAAGUACACAUGAGGGAAGCCCAGCUUCUGGUCUACCGCUAGUUACCUCCCCAGCAGCCCUCCCCUGCACUUCCUCUUGCCUUCCUUCCUGGACUCUAUUACCCAUCAAUGCCAAUACCACUCUUGCCUGAGCAGCAACAGCAGAGACAGCUUCUCUGGAAAUACACACAUUCCCCGGGCAGAGAAGUAGACCACUCAGAGCUAGUUAAUUAGUACGUUGACUGGGAUGUAUUUUGCUGGUUGACUCCUAGCCACGCCACACAGAGGCUGAAGCAAGAAUAUUUCAGUAGUAGGGGUUGGUGACAAAUCCAAGACCUAAAGGUGGGACCCUAAUCCGGUAGGGCAGAUGUCCUCAUAAGAAGGUGCAACAGGAGCAUGUGUGCACAGAGGAAAGACCACGUGGGGACAGCAAGAAGACGGUCAUCUGCAAGCCAAGGAGAGAAGUCUCAGGAGAAACCAAGACUGCCAGCAGUUGAUCUUGAACUUCCGGCCUCCAGCACAGUGAGAAAAUAAACUUCUGUUGUUUAAGCCACCUCGUCUGUGGCAUUUUGUCAUGGCAGCCCAAGCUGACUGACACAACACUGAUGGCCAACGGUGAGGGGGCUGCUGCAGACCAAUUCUACCUCAGCCUCAGUCUGCGCUGGGCUCGCCUGGGCCCAGGGAGGAGACAGGAGCUGACACACACAUUCAGAUCGCAACCGGGUAUUUUCAGGUUAACAGGUCCAUGCUGAAACAAACAAGCAAAAGACAUAAAUAGGAUGAAAGUUGUAGACAGCCAUGAACAAUUUAUCUUUUUCCUGUGGCUUAUCUGUUUGUACAUACUUGCUUUCUUGGUGGUUUUAUAAGAACAAACAUUUGCCUUUAGAAAACUCUCUUCUUGAGAACUUUAAGUUCUCAAGAAAUCUAAACAAUUUGGGG
ensembl:lncRNA